rnacentral:rRNA from 1 species
UUACUGGGCGUAAAGCGCGCGUAGGUGGUUUUUAAGUUGGAUGUGAAAGCCCUGGGCUCAACCUAGGAACUGCAUCCAAAACUAGAUGACUAGAGUACGAAAGAGGGAAGUAGAAUUCACAGUGUAGCGGUGGAAUGCGUAGAUAUUGUGAAGAAUACCAAUGGCGAAGGCAGCUUCCUGGUUCUGUACUGACACUAAGGUGCGAAAGCGUGGGUAGCGAACAGGAUUAGAUACCCUGGUAGUCCACGCCGUAAACGAUGACAACUAGCUGUUGGGAGACAAGAUCUCUCAGUGGCGCAGCUAACGCUUUAAGUUGUCCGCCUGGGGAGUACGGCCGCAAGGCUAAAACUCAAAUGAAUUGACGGGGACCCGCACAAGCGGUGGAGCAUGUGGUUUAAUUCGAUGCAACGCGAAAAACCUUACCUACUCUUGACAUACUUGGAAGCUCUUGUAAUGAGAGUGUGCUUUUAGAGCCAAGAUACAGGUGCUGCAUGGCU